rnacentral:rRNA from 1 species
AACGAACGCUGGCGGCAUGCCUUACACAUGCAAGUCGAACGGCAGCACGGGAGCAAUCCUGGUGGCGAGUGGCGAACGGGUGAGUAAUAUAUCGGAACGUGCCCGGUCGUGGGGGAUAACGUAGCGAAAGCUACGCUAAUACCGCAUACGAUCUACGGAUGAAAGCGGGGGAUCGCAAGACCUCGCGCGAUUGGAGCGGCCGAUAUCAGAUUAGGUAGUUGGUGAGGUAAAGGCUCACCAAGCCGACGAUCUGUAGCUGGUCUGAGAGGACGACCAGCCACACUGGGACUGAGACACGGCCCAGACUCCUACGGGAGGCAGCAGUGGGGAAUUUUCCGCAAUGGGCGAAAGCCUGACGGAGCAAUACCGCGUGAGGGAGAAUGCCUAUGGGUUGUAAACCGUACUUUUUUCUAGGGUAGGAAGUCAAAUGACGUGUACCUGAGAAUAAGCAUCGGCUAACUCCGUGCCAGCAGCCGCGGUAACUGUGAC